CUUUUUUGCACUUUUGAUUAUCUUUGCUGCUAACUUAAAGUUGUUUUGAGCUACAUAAAAUUGUUUUGACUUUCUUAGGGUGAUACAUUGUACAUAUGUACUGUGUUUUGGUAGUGUAUAUUUUCCCUCCAAUCUUCUGGGCUCUUACUGUUCUUUUAGGAGGAAGAUGAAGAUUUUGAAGAAGAAAGUGAUGAUGAUGAUACUGCAGCUCUUCUUGCAGAACUGGAAAAAAUUAAAAAAGAAAGAGCUGAAGAGCAGGCCAGGAAGGAACAAGAACAAAAAGCUGAAGAAGAGAGGAUUCGUAUGGAAAACAUUCUGAGCGGAAACCCUCUCCUUAAUCUCACUGGCCCAUCCCAGCCUCAGGCCAACUUCAAAGUUAAAAGAAGGUGGGAUGAUGAUGUUGUCUUCAAGAACUGUGCAAAAGGUGUAGAUGACCAGAAGAAAGACAAAAGAUUUGUAAAUGACACACUGCGAUCUGAAUUUCACAAAAAGUUCAUGGAGAAAUAUAUUAAGUAGUACAGUUUUAUGUGCUUAAUUAAAGACUGUAAAACGUAAAGGA
rnacentral:sRNA from 1 species